UCCCUGUCAUGCUCUUGAUAUUCCUAUUUUUGCUGCUAUUUUUAUAUGCAUAUCUCUAAACACAAUAAAGCUUUGCGUAACAGAAUAAUACAUUCGGAAUUUGGAGGUAUGACGUCAGUGUCAGCUGCAUAAAUGGUAUAUUCUGAGUUAUCACGAAUUUCAGGUUCUAUAUCUGCAAACGGUAAUGGAUCUUCUGCUAUUUCUUCAGUUUCGAUUGUAGGCUCAUGGUCGCUAGUCUCAGUUUGACGCGUACUAGGUGUAUUAAGCAUAACCAGAUUAUCACGAUCAAUUUUGAGAUAACCAGAUUUAAAAUCUAUGAUACAAUCAAAACGCUCAAGAAAAUCCUUUCCUAAAAUAGCCAUAUAAUGAAGCUUUGGUAAAACACAGUUUUUACCAUAUAACUAGCGUUGCCUAAAUAGAAUUCCAAAUUGACAUCUCCUAAAAAACCUAACUAUUUCGCCACUUGCGGUUUGCGCUGUUUUUCAUUGACUGGAUGUUCCUGAUAUCAAUUUCAAAUGUCGUCGAAUUUUAGCCCAAAAAGCUUGAUUAAUUACUGUAAUAGCAGAACCCGUAUCAAUAAGAAUAUUAGCAUCAAAGCUUUCGAUUUUCCCAGUUACAGUUAGUUUUCCGAAGUUCUGGGUAGGCACAUAUAUUGUUUUGAGCAGGGCGUUUUCGUGCGAAGAGAAAACAAGGUUUAUUAUGAUAUGGACUAGAUGUAUGUGCGCUUUCUUGCUGUAUAGCGUUCAAAGGUGGUGGUGGGAGAGGAGGUGGUGGCAAUGCUGGAAAACGUGUAUACCUCCCUACAUUGGUAUUUGAUCUCGGGUUAGUUUCAGGAUUAAAAUUAUUUCUUACGGUUUGCCCCGUUGUAUAGUAGUGACUACGCUGUGGUUGAAACAAUGAACUCCUAGGUGGAUUAAAAUUUGUACGGCCUUGUGAGUGACUUGAACGGUUUAAAUUUACAAAACAAGGAUUUGCAAUAUGCCCUACUCUAUUGCAACGAUUACAAAUUGGUCGACCAUUGCUGUUCCGUCGAUUUCUUGCAUAUAAUAAGAGUUUGCAACUGGUUUUAACGGUCCAACUCUCAGUCUUACAAUCGGCUGUGUGGUCUGAAUUUGAUUUUGUAACCUCGCAAAUUCUUUGCAAGUAACGUAAUUCGGCGACUGAUCAGCAUGGCGCCGGAGGAACUGUUGGUGUGGUGUUACAAAUACUUGCCUUAAAGCCUCUUGUAUCGCUUCGAAAUCUGCGCGAACUUCAUCAGUUUGCCGCUGACAAACGCGUUGGGCGCUACCACCAAGAAACAAUACAAACCCAUUUAACUGUUGCUCAGGGGUCCACCCAUUAAACGUAGCAUAUCUGUUAAAUUUUUGUAACCACUCAUCGUAAUCCUCAGUUGGGGAACCACGAAAAACUGAGGGUGGAAGGCCACUAGCCCUAGGAGGCGCCCCUGCAAUUUGAUUUUGUUGUUCAUGUAGUCUGUCAGUCAUUUCUUGUAGUAAUUCAAAAAUACCCUGUGGUAGGGCUUGGGCUUCCUCUUCCAGUAUAGGGUCUCUGAGUAAGCCAAUGAAGAGAGAGAUGUAUCGGAGUCUGAAAGAUCAGAAGGCUCGUUCCCACACCGAGAUGUAGCUACAAUUUCGUGUACACCAACGCGAAGGGUCCCACCCUAGAGAACCUAUAUUAUGAGAACGCGUUCGCCUAGCGAUUGGUUCGUUGUUUUCAGAACUAGACUCUGCUACGCUCAUUAACCUACUCAACUCUCUAUUAAGCGCAAAACAUAUAAUUAUAUCUAAACAUUCUUAAUGAUAAGUAACUAGAUAUAGAAUAACGUUAAUAUGUAAGAAAUGAUAUAAAGUAUGUAAAUUGAUCGAUUUAGUCAACAUGUCAACUUACGACCAGUUUAGCACGGUCAACAAUUCAUCGUCAGAUUCUGUUUCGUAGCCAGCUGGAAUACAACGGUAUUUUGGCUCACAGUAGCGGGUCUUGGCGGCUGCGAGUCGCAAUUUUUGCACGUAUUGGUCGAAUUCCAAAGCUAUCGAGCUCUCGGUUUGGGUCGCCGCGUCUUUCGUUGUCGUUGCUGGCGUUUGAGUCGUUGUUACUGGCGUCGUUUCAGUAGACGUUGGUACGAACACUACAGGAAUAUACUGGACGUGUACGGUUCCUGCGGGUUGUUCAUAAGGCCGUUCCUCCACCAAAUUUUUAAAUGACUUUUUUUUUCUAUGUACGCGAGGUAGGAGAUCUUUACAAUGUUUGACUAAUGUUUUUAAUGUUCUCUUCUUUCUUUUUGAUCUUCGUCGUUUUGUGUUCUUGUCUUUAUCGUUGGUUGUGUAUGUUGAGCUUCUCUAACGUUUCACAUGAUUUUUAUUCCGCUAGUCCACUGAAGGUUUGGGUGUUGUGCACGCCCUUUUAUAGUAAAGGUUGAGGGAAACUUGCACACAUCGAUUUAGUCAAUAUGCCAACUUACGACCAGUUUAGCACGGCCAACAAUUCAUCGUCAGAUUUUUCUUCGUAGCCAGCUGGAAUACAACGGUAUUUUGGCUCACAGUAGCGGGUCUUGGCGGCUGCGAGUCGCAAUUUUUGCACGUAUUGGUCGAAUUCCAAAGCUAUCGAGCUCUCGGUUUGGGUUGCCGCGUCCUUCGUUGUCGUUGUAGGCGUUUGGGUCGUUGUUACUGGCGUCGUUUCAGUAGACGUUGGUACGAACACUACAGGAAUAUACUGGACGUACCGUUCCUUCGGGUUGUUCAUAAGGCCGUUCCUCCACCAAAUUUUUAAAUGACUUUUAUUUUCUAUGUACGCGAGGUAGGAGAUCUUUACAAUGUUUGCCUUUUUUUUUAAUGUUCCCUUCUUUCUUUUUGAUCUUCGUCGUUUUGUGUUCUUGUCUUUAUCGUUAGUUGUGUAUGUUGAGCUUCUCUAACGUUUCACAUGAUUUUUACUCCGCUAGUCUACUGAAGGUUCGGGUGUUGUGCACGCCCUUUUAUAGUAAAGGUUGAGGGACACUCGCACACGUCAUCAACCAGAGUGGGCUGAUCCUCAUCCAACCAAUCAGCGUUGUAAGUUAGAAAUUUGGGUUGGCGUUAGAAUUUCGUUUCAGCUCUCAUAACUUGUUUGUGUAAGGCGCUGACGCACUAGUCGAGUUGGUCAUCAUCUCAAAAAUGUGAUAUUAGAAUAUAUCUCAUGCAGCGUGUCUCACUGAGACGUACUGAUAGAAAACGCGGAGCUUCCCAAUAUGCACUCGUCGCCUGCCUCGUCUUGUACUAUGCAUAAGUUGGGUUCGUUAUUUCCGUUUUCUUGGUGACACUCAAAGUUAAAGAAUAAGAGUUGAUUGUACCCGCUUUGAGUCGAGUUUUCUUCAUCGUUCGUCUCUGUAUUCGGAGGAGGUUCGCUUCUUCGUUAAUGUCGCUGCUGUUUUUGUCUCUUACGGGUUGCAUAUAACAUUGAUGAUUCUCAGUUUGCACAUAGACAUCGCAUGUAGGGCAACGUGGGGGUUUUGAGGGUGGUUGAGACUAAGGUUCGGAAGGGGGCCGGAGUUGGUGCUGGAAAAGUGGUUGGGAAAGUUCUUGGGGUUUUGAGGGUGGUUGGAACUAAGGUUUGGAAAGGGGUUGGAAUUGGUGGGGGUUUGAGGGUGGUUGAGACUAAGGUUCGGAAAGUGGUUGGAAUUGGUGUUCGAAAAGUGGUUGGAGUUCUUGGGGUUUUAAGGAUGGUUGAGACUAAGGUUUGGAAAGGGGUUGGAAUUGGUGCUCGAUUUUACGUAAAACAUAUUAAUAAACGUUCUUAAACAUACAUAAACUAGGUAUAGGAUAAUGUUAUAUAGAACAUAUAAAUUGAUCGAUAAAUAAUCAAUAUGCCAACCUACGACCAGUUUAACACUGGUAGCCGUUCGUCUUCUGAAUCUGUUCGUACCCAGCCAGCGGUAUUCUGAUUCACAAUAGCGGGGCUGUUUUGAACUGCAUCCAAAACGUCAAUCUCAUUUCAUGAUCUUUUUUAAUGACUCGUAAUGUUCCAUCACUUGCUCGUAGUAAGUUAACUUAACACAGCUUACAAUAUUUAUCGUCAACAACUAGUAAAAUUUACAAACAAUCACCUCUGUGAACAAUAUCUUUCAACUUAAACUAUUUUUCACUCUUAUUUUACCGAAUUGAUCUUUUGUUCACGUAAUCUAUUACAUGCUUGACCGCGCAACAUUUUUAACACAAUUGAUUGACAUAAGAGCUUGCGUUGCCUACAAGCACGCACAUUUUUAAAAAAUGCGACUAUUAAGAUGAGUGACGACUUACAAGUGUUUAUCCAGAUAUUAGUUCUGAGAGGUUGAUAAAUAUUUUCACCUUGAUCAUGAUAAGAGAUGUGUACUUCGAAUUGACUUAAGCUUCGCAAUAAAGGACUGACAGAGAUUGGUUUUUCGACGUACAACAGACUCCCAAGUUCGAAUGUUAUAAUGCAUGAUCGUAAGACAUCCUUAGUGCACGUUUCUGGGUGUUUUCAAUGAGAUCGGACAAGUUAACCGGCAGAUUCGACCAAGCGGGUGCGGCGUAUUCAACAGAUGAUCUCAUAAACGAACAAUACACUACCACCAAGCAUUUCGACAAUUCGUGGACAAUGCACGCACUACUAUUCUACACAAAUUAUUGAAGGAUAAGUUUCGUAAAAUAAGUGAAUAUGCAAUUUCUUCCGGAUACCGUGUGAAUGAAAUUCGUAAAACUUGUAUGCACCUUCCUGCAACUCAUUACGAUGAGCUCUCAAAUAAUCGUCACUUAAUCAUGGGAGUAAAAUUUUAGUACGAGAAAAGAUGUUCGGUGUAACACUUCACCACCUUAAAUUUGAAAACUGUUUUCUCAACCUUACGUUUCGUGAAAGAUUUCACUAUGCAUGUGCUCACAGUGUCAAUGUUCGAAAUUACGAUUUUGCCACUGAGGAGUGAAGUCCGCUAUAAACUGCUACGGUAAACCCGUGUGUAUUUUUGAUGUAAGAAUAUGCUUUUUUUUCGUGUAAUGAGGUAGACGAAACUCCAAUUCGCUUACAGACCCGUCUGGUCAAGGAUACAAAGAAGUUGAUUUUCUCUUCACCUGAAGGAAAUUGAAUGUAAAAGUUGCCAAAAUAAUGUUUAACAUGUGCAUUUUACGAAACCACUAUAGGCAUAUCACACCUGGGACUGGGAAUGUAUAUUCGUAUUGGUAGGCGUGAAAAGUUCUGCUAGUGAAAAUACCCUCUCGGACAUCUAUUGUUCCAGAAUCCCAUAAGGCUUGGUUCUCUAAUAUGGCUAUUCAUCGGCGACGUACUUUGUCGAGGUUAUUAAAUGCUUUUAUAAAAUGAUUUGUCUAUCGUAAAAAUUAUUCACUUCAUUGGUCAGUGACAAUGGCUCCUAGAACAUCGUCGAUGAAUUACGACAUAUGAAAACCAAACUUACAUAAAGUUAGGAACUUUUCGUCUCUAAACGGAACUUUUUGUCGAAAAAAAAUUUACUCUUCUUAGUUUGUAAUAAUGAAUAAUACCUUAAAAAGUAUUUGAAUUGCCGCGCAAUGUCCUUGAAGCCCAAUAGUGCUCAAAAUAUUUAUUUUAGAAAAUUGAAAUAUAUAUGAUAUUUAUAUAUAAUAUAUUUUCAUGUAAGUCAUUA